rnacentral:rRNA from 2 species
UUAGGCUCUGCUAUCGCUUUUGGAUGGACCCGCGGCGUAUUAGCUAGUUGGUGGUAAUAGCUCACCAAGGCAAUGAUACGUAGCCGACCUGAGAGGGUAAUCGGCCACAUUGGGACUGAGACACGGCCCAAACUCCUACGGGAGGCAGCAGUAGGGAAUCUUCCACAAUGGGCGAAAGCCUGAUGGAGCAAUGCCGCGUGAGUGAAGAAGGUUUUCGGAUCGUAAAACUCUGUUGUUGAAGAAGAACAUGCGUGAGAGUAACUGUUCACGUACUGACGGUAUUCAACCAGAAAGCCACGGCUAACUACGUGCCAGCAGCCGCGGUAAUACGUAGGUGGCAAGCGUUGUCCGGAUUUAUUGGGCGUAAAGAGAAUGUAGGCGGUUUAUUAAGUUUGAAGUGAAAGCCCUCGGCUCAACCGAGGAAGUGCUUCGAAAACUGGUAAACUUGAGUGCAGAAGAGGAAAGUGGAACUCCUGUGUAGCGGUGGAAUGCGUAAUAUAUGGAAGAACACCAUGGCGAAGGCGCUUUCUGGUACUGACGCUGAGAUUAGCUGGG